AAACCCCCUGAAGGGCUUGUGGAUUUUACCUUUAAAAAGCUAGCCUCGGCUUAUCCAUUGCACUUCGGAUGUGCUGACCCCUGCGAUUUCCCCAAAUGCGGGAAACUCGACUGCAUAAUUUGUGGUAGUGGGGGACUGCGUUAGCGCUCUCCCCUG